rnacentral:rRNA from 1 species
UACGUAGGGAGCGAGCGUUGUCCGGAAUUACUGGGUGUAAAGGGAGCGUAGGCGGGGCGGCAAGUCAGGUGUGAAAUUUAUGGGCUUAACCCAUAACCUGCAUUUGAAACUGUCGCUCUUGAGUGAAGAAGAGGUUGGCGGAAUUCCUAGUGUAGCGGUGAAAUGCGUAGAUAUUAGGAGGAACACCAGUGGCGAAGGCGGCCAACUGGGCUUUUACUGACGCUGAGGCUCGAAAGCGUGGGGAGCAAACAGGAUUAGAUACC